CCUACGGGAGGCAGCAGUGGGGAAUAUUGCACAAUGGGCGCAAGCCUGAUGCAGCCAUGCCGCGUGUGUGAAGAAGGCCUUCGGGUUGUAAAGCACUUUCAGCGGGGAGGAAGGCGGUGAGGUUAAUAACCUCAUCGAUUGACGUUACCCGCAGCAGAAGCACCGGCUAACUCCGUGCCAGCAGCCGCGGUAAUACGGAGGGUGCAAGCGUUAAUCGGAAUUACUGGGCGUAAAGCGCACGCAGGCGGUCUGUCAAGUCGGAUGUGAAAUCCCCGGGCUCAACCUGGGAACUGCAUUCGAAACUGGCAGGCUAGAGUCUUGUAGAGGGGGGUAGAAUUCCAGGUGUAGCGGUGAAAUGCGUAGAGAUCUGGAGGAAUACCGGUGGCGAAGGCGGCCCCCUGGACAAAGACUGACGCUCAGGUGCGAAAGCGGGGGGAGCAAACAGGAUUAGAUACCCGGGUAGUC
rnacentral:rRNA from 1 species